GGAAACCCAGCGAAUGUCGCAAAAUGGACGUUCUUUCAUAUAAGCGCGUAUGCACACUACUAUUGGUUUGGGAUAUGCUGAUUUUACUGUCGACGCUGACACCAAUUCAAAGAAUGGUGGGAAGACUUGCUGCGGAUUAUUAUGACACCAAUUCCCGUGGAUCCAGGGAGGACGUACACUUAUUGCUUGAAGAUUUGGAAUUAGAUUCGAUCAUAGUUCAAUAUCAAAGUAAGUAUUAGCA